rnacentral:hammerhead_ribozyme from 1 species
GCACUGCUAAGGAGUCCCACGAUAGGACGAAACGGCCGUCCAGUGU